rnacentral:rRNA from 1 species
UUCUUAAUUUAUAUUUUUAAGUACAACCUGCUCAGUGUAACAUAAACAGCCGCAGAAUUUUAACUGUGCUAAGGUAGCAUAAUCAUUAGUCUUUUAAUUCAAGACUAGAAUGAAAGGUUAAACAUUUCUUUUACUUUUUCCACAAUAAAAAUAAAAAUUUUACUAAAUAUAAAAAUAUAUUUAUACAAUAAUUAGACGACAAGACCCUAUUAAACUUAACUUCUGUUUAGCUGGGGCAGCUAAUUAAUUAAAAUUUUAAUUAAAAAAAUUAAAUAAAUAUCCUGUCACAUAGAUAUCACCAAGUUACUAUAGGGAUAACAGCAUAAUUAAUUUUUCAAGCUCAUAUUCAAAAAUUAGAUUAUGACCUCGAUGUUGAAUAAAUUUCUAUAAAAACGCAAAAGUUAUUAAAAGAGGGUCUGUUCGACCUUUAAAUUUUUACA